rnacentral:lncRNA from 1 species
GCUAUUCAUGCAGUUUUAAGAGCUGUUCACCAUGGCAGGUUUCUUCAGGAUUGCAGUGAAAUCCCCUUUCCUGAAAAUAAACUGCCAUUUUCUCUGAAGUCUUCACUCUAGGCUAAUUUGUCUACUGUAAAGUCUUCCUGACAUUUCAUAGCUAGUUUUUAGAUGGUCAGUCCACAGCUUAUGAAUGUGUUUGUGAAUUAGUUAAUUGCAACAAUAUAAUAUGCAUUAGAGAUGGGUUCUAUAGUGCCAUUAAUACUAUGGGCAUAGCCUUGUUUUGGAUUAUUAACAUCUUUCUGUAGGGAAUUAUAUUCUGACUCCUGGAAGUCGAGCCAAAAUCAUUACUUCAUUGCAGUCCCAGUGGCAAGAGGCCCCCUUUUUUUGCUUGUAAUAGAAAUAGGAAUGCUAAAGCU